GAUGAACGCUGGCGGCGUGCUUAAUACAUGCAAGUCGAACGGUGAAGCAGAGCUUGCUCUGUGGAUCAGUGGCGAACGGGCGAGUAACACGUGAGCAACCUGCCCCUGACUCUGGGAUAAGCGCUGGAAACGGCGUCUAAUACUGGGCAUGAGCUGCGACCGCAUGGUCAGCAGUUGGAAAGAUUUUUCGGUUUGGGAUGGGCUGACAGCCUAUCAGCUUGUUGGUGAGGUAAUGGCUCACCAAGGCGUCGACGGGUAGCCGGCCUGAGAGGGUGACCGGGCACACUGGGACUGAGACACGGCCCAGACUCCUACGGGAGGCAGCAGUGGAGAGUAUUGCAGAGUGAGCGAGAGCCAGAUACAGCGGCGCCGCGUGAGGGAUGACGGGCUUCGGGUUAUAAACAUCUUUGAACAGGAAAAAACCGAAAGUGACGGUACCUGCAGAGAAAGCGCCGGCUAACUACGUG
rnacentral:rRNA from 1 species